rnacentral:lncRNA from 1 species
AUGGUCAUUUAUAAGUUACCUCUCUGUGCUGUCCUUGUUUGUCAGAGUCAUGCAUGGACCGCUGUGAGAAUGGCUUCAACUCCAAAAAUAAUUUCCAGUGUGACACCAUGUGUCAGUACUACAAGAGACCGCGACCGCGAGACCGCAUGUCGUAUGAAAACACGUGGGGACACCUUUGAAUUUGCAGAGGAUGAUGAUGGUCUAUUUGCCCCUACAACGCCCACCUCGCUGACCAAACCUGAAGAUGAAGAAUCCAGCUACUCAUGGGGCCAACGUCGGCAACCCACAUGCUUCAGAACUCCCAAUUCCAUCUCUACUCCUACCACAAUUGCCUUAAAGACAAACCCAGUCACAGAGCCAGCUACAGGCGCAGCUACAGGCCCACAGGGAUGCCAGAUCCCACUCUCGGAGGCAGCUAAAACCACCAAGGCACCAUCAGCCUCACAUGCAGGUAGAGGCCCACAGAGAGGUCAGGUCCCAGUGAAAGUCCCACUCCCGGAGACAGCUAAAGCCACAGAGGGACCAUCAGUCGCACAUGCACCCUCAAUCCAACAGAAAAUAUCAGUCUCCCAGAGUGCCACGGUAAGAGUAACAGAGCCAGUUACAACAGAAGCUCCAGGCACAACAGCAGAAGUGGAGACAACCACAGAGGAAGUGGUAGAUCCAGAUGCUGAGCCAUGCAGCGGCAGGCCCUGGGACUCCGUCAUGCAGUUCAAGAACGGCUCUGUCUACACCUUCAGAGGUAAGAGUCUUCAAGGGUCUUACCGCGUCACCUUUAUAGGUGUGAAGCAUUGGGUGGGAGAAAAACACCAGGAGAGGUUCUGUUUAUCUGUAUCUCCCGCACCCCACCAUACCCCUGUCUGCGCAUUAUGCCCUGAAUAUAUUCUACCAUGCCCAGAAACCUGCUCCUCUUAUUCUCUGUCCCCAACGCUCUAGGCGACCAGUUUUGAUAGCCUUUAGCCGCACCCUCAUACUACUCCUUCUCUGUUCCGCGGGUGAUGUGGAGGUAAACCCAGGCCCUGCAUGUCCCCAGGCACCCUCAUUUGUUGACUUCUGUG